rfam:Gossypium hirsutum cultivar TM-1 chromosome 15, whole genome shotgun sequence
UUGUAAAAAUUUUAUCUAUUUGUACUAUUAAAAAUUGACAUGAUUGAUAAAAUAAUUAGACAACAACUCGUAGUGUGCCACAUGUACUUCAUAAUGAUGUAUGAGAACUAAUUUUUAACAGUAAAAGUAAAAAUAGAUUAAAUUUUUAAGU